ACUCAAAGGAAUAGACGGGGACCCGCACAAGCGGUGGAGCAUGUGGUUUAAUUCGACGCAACGCGAAGAACCUUACCUGGGUUAAAUCACAGGUGCAAAGCUUGGAGACAAGUUCCCCCCGCAAGGGGCGCCUGUGAAGGUGCUGCAUGGCUGUCGUCAGCUCGUGUCGUGAGAUGUUGGGUUAAGUCCCGCAACGAGCGCAACCCUUACCGCUAGUUGCCAGCAUUCGGUUGGGCACUCUAGCGGAACUGCCGGUGAUAAACCGGAGGAAGGUGGGGAUGACGUCAAGUCAUCAUGGCCUCUAUGUCCAGGGCUACACACGUGCUACAAUGGCCGGUACAAAGCGCUGCAAACUCGUAAGAGGGAGCCAAUCGCAAAAAGCCGGUCUCAGUUCGGAUUGGAGUCUGCAACUCGACUCCAUGAAGUUGGAAUCGCUAGUAAUCGCAGAUCAGCACGCUGCGGUGAAUACGUUCCCGGGUCUUGUACACACCGCCCGU
rnacentral:rRNA from 1 species